GAUGAACGCUGGCGGCGUGCUUAACACAUGCAAGUCGAACGGAAAGGCUCCUGCUUGCAGGGGUACUCGAGUGGCGAACGGGUGAGUAACACGUGGGUGAUCUGCCCUGCACUUCGGGAUAAGCCUUGGAAACUGGGUCUAAUACCGGAUAGGACCACAUUUUGGGUGGUGUGGUGGAAAGUUUUUCGGUGUGGGAUGAGCUCGCGGCCUAUCAGCUUGUUGGUGGGGUAAUGGCCUACCAAGGCGUCGACGGGUAGCCGGCCUGAGAGGGUGUACGGCCACAUUGGGACUGAGAUACGGCCCAGACUCCUACGGGAGGCAGCAGUGGGGAAUAUUGCACAAUGGGCGCAAGCCUGAUGCAGCGACGCCGCGUGGGGGAUGACGGCCUUCGGGUUGUAAACUCCUUUCGCUAGGGACGAAGCGAAAGUGACGGUACCUGGAGAAGAAGCACCGGCUAACUACGUG
rnacentral:rRNA from 1 species